AGUGCAGUGGCCCAGGGCAGACUGGCUGGAAUCAGCCUCCCGGGUGGGUUUCGAGGCGUUUCCAGGGUCAGGGGUCAAGCAGGGGCAUGUUCCCGGGACACUGCUUCUUUCUGCCAGAAGGACGAAGAAUCUGGAGAGUGCAAUAUUUGGAUCUGGUCCUGCUGAUGUGUUUCUGUGCUACGGAAACCUUCUCCACCCCUCUUCUACCCAACGGCUAGAGGACAUGGGGUCCGGAAGCGCAUGUGGCUGGAGCCAGUGUGGUCGCUGUCCUGAUGGCCGAGUCCAGAUGAGCUGCCGCUGGGGAAACACAGGGUACCUGAGGUCUGAGGUCGGGACGUCUUUGUCCAACCACUAAGAGUCCACAUUCUCCUUUGGAAUCGGGUCUCCGUUUUCUCCAGCAUCAUGGGCCCCUCAAGGAAGCUGAUGCAUGCCACAGGCCAUCUUCUCAGAAAAGGUACCCAAGAACACAUUUUGGGUUUGCAUGUGGAUUGGGAAGCCCAACGUGGCCUCCACGGGUGCUCCUUGGCUUUGUCUAGACUGCAGGAUCCCACCCAUGCCCUGUGGAUUUGCCACGUGGACACUGACGUGAGCAAAUGGACAAUUCAACAUCAGUGGCAGGAAGGAGCUCAGUCUGGUUCACACGUGGAAGGCAGCACAUUCUGAAAGAGAAUCACUUGAACCCAGGAGGCGAAGGGUGCAUUGAGCCAAGAUUGUGCUAUUGCACUCCAGCCUGGACAACAGAGCAAGACUCUGUCUCUGAAAAAAAGAAAAAAAAAAAAAAAAAAAAAAGAAAAGCGACGACAUUCAGUCAAUCAGACAGAUAUUUUUGGUGAUGCUGCAACUCUUAUUGGUAUCCUGUCUGGAUUCUGUUUAUUUAGUUCCUAAGUUGGUAAAUACGGUGCCUGUUAAUCAUUAACCUUUGCCUUGUCAUUGACAAAGAGUUCACUUGUCAAGCUGUGAGUUGAAUACAGAAUCAUGAGGCCUGUGGAAUUCAAGCAUUGAUCUUGAUAUUAUGGAUGAGGACAAAAAGGGUGGGUGACUUGAAGCUGUUUUCUUCCCAGAAUUUGAGCUUUGUGAUCAUUGAAUCAGGACUUGAAUCGACACUCCUUGGCUCCCUAGUCCUUUUUCUGCUUUUCCUUUGGUGGUGAUCGGAGGCUGUAGUAGGCUGUUCUUCUGUUGCUAUAAAGAGAUACCUGAGGCUGGGCAAUUUAUAAGCAAAAGAGGUUUGAUUGGCUCCCAGUUCUGUGGGCUUUACAGGAAGCCUGGUGCCGGCAUCUGCUUGGCUCUUGGGGAGGCCUCGAGAAGCCUCCAAUCAUGGUGGAAGGCAACGGAGAAGCAGGAGGGUAGAGAGAUGCCACGUGCUUUUAAACAACCAGAUCUUGCGAGAACUCACUAUCUCAAGGAGAGCACCAAGCCAUUUAGGAGGCAUCUGCCUGGUGACCCAAACACCUCCCACCAGCCCCACCUCCAACAUUGCGAAUGACAUUUCAACGUGAGAUGUGGAGGGGACAUCCAGACUGUAUCAGAAACCAAGAGAUAACAACUUAGUAGACAUAUUCCAAACAAUUAUGACCCACAGGGUGCCGAUCAGUGUGCAGAGAAUGUCUUCAUUUACACACAAAAAGACACAGACAAGACACUCAGCAGAAGUUCUCAGAGGGGCUAAGUGUGGAAGGCUUCGUGUGUUCAUUUUUAUUCUUUGGGGCUGAAAGAAUGCUUUAUACCAUGAGCUGUGCUUCUUUUAAAAUAGAAAUAAAAUGCUUAGUUAGUC
rnacentral:antisense_RNA from 1 species